GACGUAGGGCGCGAGCGUUGUCCGGAUUUAUUGGGCGUAAAGAGCUCGUAGGCGGCUUGUCGCGUCGACUGUGAAAACCCGGGGCUCAACUUCGGGCUUGCAGUCGAUACGGGCAGGCUAGAGUUCGGUAGGGGAGACUGGAAUUCCUGGUGUAGCGGUGAAAUGCGCAGAUAUCAGGAGGAACACCGAUGGCGAAGGCAGGUCUCUGGGCCGAUACUGACGCUGAGGAGCGAAAGCGUGGGGAGCAAACAGG
rnacentral:rRNA from 1 species